UACGGGGGGAGCAAGCGUUGUUCGGAUUUACUGGGCGUAAAGAGCGCGCAGGCGGUCGGAUAAGUCGAAUGUGAAAGCCCCCGGCUCAACUGGGGAGGGUCAUUCGAUACUGUUCGACUCGAAGGCAGGAGAGGGAAGUGGAAUUCCGGGUGUAGUGGUGGAAUGCGUAGAGAUCCGGAGGAACACCAGCGGCGAAGGCGGCAUCCUGGACUGGUCCUGACACUCAGGAGCGAAAGCGUGGGGAGCGAUCCGG
rnacentral:rRNA from 1 species